rnacentral:lncRNA from 1 species
CUGUCCAGUCUCUGUCGAAAGAUUCUGACCUGGAGGCUGUGGUUAAAACUCUGGCUCCUGCCUUACUGGCCGAGCUAGCCAAGAUGAAGUCCUCAUCAUCAUCAUCACACUCCUCGUCCGUAGGAGGAAAUCCCUCCUCGUCUUCUACUGCCGUUACUGCAAAGAAGGAGUUCACUAAGAAGCCUUAUAAAGCAAACCCCAACCUGCAGAAGUCUGUGGCAAGUUCUUCCUUACAGACUAAGUUUGGUGUUUGUAUCUCAUUACUUUAAUGAAACCUUAUCCACUUAACGCUUUGAUCAAAGACAUAAUCAGAAAAUGAUACUUUGUUUGCUACAUACAAAGAGAAAAUGAUGACAUGACAUUAGAUUGGACACUUUUGACAAAGAUGCAUUUUCUCUUUCUAACCAUUUUUAAAGGAACCAGUUUCAGUAGUCCACUGUCCAACACUAUAUUUGGUCUUAUUUUGGUUUUCUCUCUCUUUUUGCUCAGUCUGGUAAAUCGACGCCUCCGACGAUGGUGAAACUAGAAGGGAUUCAGAGUUAUGUCUCUUACAACAAUGUGAUGGAUGCUAUGAGGCAAUUUGGAAAAACCAAGACUAUUGUACUGUAUCGGUCUAAACGUGAGGUAUGUAUAGAGAGAGUUAUGCGUUAUUGCUACCCAAACCUACAUUUUCUAACUGCAACAUAUAGUGCUAAGUUUUCACUUAGCAAUCUACUUUUAUCCAAAGUAUCUCAUUAAGGAUAAAGUUAAGAUAGUUGUGACUGUUGUACUUAUGUAAGAAUAUGCUAUUGUGUAUGUGCACAUCUAGGUAACGGUGUGUUUUGAAAAAGAGGAAGACGCAAAUAAGUUAAAGAGCUUAAAGAGCUUUGAAGUCAAAGGAACGACAAUCUCUGUUGUCAGCGAACAGGUAUUACACUUCUGUCUCUCUGUACAUUUGAACAUUUAUCUGCUGUAGUGUGGUCACACGGUCAAUGAUCAGAUUACUCAAAUCUCAAUGUGUUUGUUUACAGAAGGAUGUUGCUAAGGAACAAAAGAAUCCUCCUAAGAAAAAACCUGCCGCAUCCAGUGUCGACACACCUCAAACCCCUACCCUGCCUCGGCUUACAGCGCCUUUACCUUCUGGAGACAAAAAAGCUGCAACAGGCAAGCCUACCAAUCAGAAAAGUGCAGCUAAAGGUUUAGUUAAAGGCGUAACGACUGGCACUAAAGCAAAGGUCUUGGUUUCCAAAACCAAAAACAUCUCAACCAAGCCGAUAACUAAAACGGUAAAAACAGCAAAGGCUCCUGUGAAGGGAGCUGUGAGAAAGACUUUGGUAAAGCAAAAACCGUCCUCAGGAUCCAAGUCCACAGCUCCAGCAAAGCAGCCCGAUGUAGAAAAGUCCAAGCCUAAAGAAUCUGAAACUAAUGUUGAAGAAGCUGUGCCGAAAGAAGUCGUUGAAGAAGCUACUGUGACAGUUCUUGAACCUAAGCAUCAGGCAGAACUUGACAAACCCAAUGACAAACCCAAACCCAAUGACAAACCCAAUGACAAACCCAAUGACAAACCCAAACCCAAUGACAAACCCAAUGACAAACCCAAACCCAAUGACAAACCCAAUGACAAACCCAAACCCAAUGACAAACCCAAACCCAAUGACAAACCCAAUGACAAACCCAAACCCAAUGACAAACCCAAACCCAAUGAUAAACCCAAUGACGCUGAAGAUGCUGAACCAGCUGAACCAAUGAAGAUUGGAGAAAUAGGAGUUGAAUUGGAAGAGCCCAUGGAAGUUGAAAGUUGUGCUAACGGCCAAGGAGCAAAACCAACAACUACAGAGACCGUACCAGAGAAUCUACCACCAGACAGUACAAUGGAGACCCGGCCAACAGAAACCUCUGUCAAAACUUUACCACAAAUGUCAGAACCAGAGUCCACUGCACUGCAAGAACCGGGGUCCAAGACGGAGGCUUCACACAUGCAACAGAAGGCUGCAGGAAGCCCAACUGAAGACGCUGUGGAGGCAAAGUCGCCAGAAGGAGGGGUGGAGACCAAAACAAUGCAAAAAGAUUCUGUGACUGAAGUGAAGACACAAACGGUUGCAGCCAAGAAGGCCUCCAAAGGCAACGCCGUUUCCACGUUGACUAUUGGGGAGAUGAUUGAAAAGCACCUGCAGCUUUGCCUAAUAUCCCGCUUCAAGUUGAAAACCUGGAGCGGACCGCGGUUCAUUUCACUUGGUCAGAGGCAUUUGCUCAUAACAAACCUGCCAAAGUAUCACGAUGGCUGCUACACAGAGAGCGACAUUGCCAAUCUGCUCAAACCAUUUGGGUUUACAAAUAUCGAUGACCACAUCUAUGUUGUUCCUCAGACCCGCAUGGCCUUCUUCUUGCUACCGACAGUGGAGGAUGUGCUCAGAAUAAUGAACGUCUCCUUGGCCACGAUCAUUAUUUUCAAAGGGUCUCAACUCUCCUUCCAUGCCGUAGCAGACGGAAUUUCAAUGGUGCCGAGCCCAAUCUAUAGUCGUCGAGGAAUGCGACUGGAAUGUCAGGCGCAAGAGAAGGAUUGCUGGUUGUGUGGGCAGUUCGGCCACUUCCAAAGUGAGGGUGUGGUCCAGGUUGCGGAGCUGCCAGAAUCCAGUCCAGAAUGGAUCCAGCGUGCACCGUUGCUGUUUUAUAAGUCGCUGAUGAACCUGAUCCUAUUUCACGUGGCAGAUUAUGGAUCGAGAAUAGUCCUCAUCAAGAAUAUUUCAUGGAAGGAGGCCGGGGAGCUCAGAGAAAAUAUGAAACCAAUCAUAUCUGUCAAGAACUACCUGCCGCUGCUCAACAAGGUAUUUAUAGAAUUUGAGUCCACUUGCGAUACUGAUCGCUUCGGACUCUGGUGCAGUAAGAGAGAAGCCUCCGGCCACAAAGUUCAGAGGCUGAGCAAACACCACGUUGCCCAUCUGUCACUCUCUCAAAGAGAUGGAGCUCAGGCAAACACCAGCAGUAGUGUUGCCGUGCAAAGUAACCCGCGCGAUGAUUUAGGACCAUUUUGGGUCACGAUGAGAAUGCGUCCCUUCCUGUUCCCGACCGUGUCUCCUUUGUUCAUCAUCCCUGAUUACCGGACAGUCAGAUCACAGAGCGACAUUGAGAAGGCCAAAGUUCAUGGCUUCGCGUUCUCCACGAUCAUGUUGACCGGUUUGCCAGAAGGUGUCUACCAGCAUGAGGACGUGGCCAAUUUGGUCUCCCGGUAUUUCCCCAAACAGAACCUUGAGUCCCUCAACUACAACGUGGCGGUCCUACCGGUGCAGAAGAGGGCCUUUGUGUUUUUCGCUGAUUGGACUUCGUGCAGCGAUUUUGCUGGAGAUCAACUCUUAAAUCCAGUUUUUGUCAAAGGCUUCAAGCUCAGUGUUCACUUCGUCUUACAAGACAUGCGUCCCCAACCCAGUGAGGAGAUGAUGUACACAACUCUGAUGAAGCUGAGCGACGCUGAAGUUAAAGAGACGAAGCUUCUGGAGGAGCGGCUGCUGUGUGUGGACAUUUCUGAGGUGUCUCUGGACAUCAUCUGGGUCGUCAUAGAAAUGGUGGCGUCCAUUGCAACCUUUGUCAACUUCCUGCCACUCGCCAACAGGAUAUACGUUGAGAUGUCUGACUCCAGCGCUGUCACCAAAGUGGUGAAGAAACACAUCACUUUCAAACCGGACUCUUCUAACAAGAGCAACGCUUGGUAA